rnacentral:antisense_RNA from 1 species
GAUUGCAGUCAUAGUCCUUUUUAAGCUGUCUAAGUAGAGCGUUUCAGAUUUAAUGCGGAAUGAAACGAUUCGAGGGGGCAUUAUCAGCGG